CUUAUCCCUUCCCCCUGUUGCACGAUGCAGCUAGCAUCGUCCUUUUCUCCGAGGAAUUGGGAUUUUUCCCACCGGAACGAGUGGAUUUCGCAUAUUUACCAUUCACAUAAUAUUGACUUCGCACAAUUGCCAUCCAGAAUGUUGUCUCCUUAAUUUUCUUGCCAUUCUACAAUUUCAAUUACUUUUCCUUUUCUUUUCUCAUACCAGGCCAUGUACAAAGUCAGUUUUUGCCCCUGCUCGCUCCGGUUUCGCAUGGGAAAGAGAAGGCAAUGACGACUUCGAGCACGGCAAGCGGUGGCAUUGCAAACCUGUGUGCACACGACGCAGCAUCUCCGACCAAGCGCUUGAGUUUGGGUAGAGGAGGCGCCAUAAACCCCAACCCGAAAGAUGUCUCUGCGGGUCAAUUUAUUGAUGUAUCCCCUUAACUGGUGUUGCUGCUUUUUUGUCUCAUGGAUCAGUAAGGCGCCACAUUCCUUUCUUAAUUAAUGCAAAAGGAACACACAGUACUAUUGUUUGUCAAAUAGUGUUCGCAA